rnacentral:rRNA from 1 species
UACGAGGGGGGCAAGCGUUGUUCGGAAUUAUUGGGCGUAAAGGGCGCGUAGGCGGUGCGGUAAGUCACCUGUGAAAACUCUGGGCUCAACUCAGAGCCUGCAGGCGAAACUGCCGUGCUUGAGUGUGGGAGAGGUGAGUGGAAUUCCCGGUGUAGCGGUGAAAUGCGUAGAUAUCGGAAGGAACACCGGUGGCGAAAGCGGCGCGCUGGAUCCCUACUGACGCUGAGGCACGAAAGCCAGGGGAGCAAACGGG